UAGGGAAUCUUCCGCAAUGGACGAAAGUCUGACGGAGCAACGCCGCGUGAGUGAAGAAGGAUUUCGGUUCGUAAAACUCUGUUGUUAGGGAAGAAAAAAUGUAUAGUAACUAUAUACAAAAGAUACGGUACCUAACCAGAAAGCCACGGCUAACUACGUGCCAGCAGCCGCGGUAAUACGUAGGUGGCAAGCGUUGUCCGGAAUUAUUGGGCGUAAAGCGCGCGCAGGUGGUUUAGAAAGUCUGAUGUGAAAGCCCACGGCUCAACCGUGGAGGGUCAUUGGAAACUAAUAAACUUGAGUGCAGGAGAGAAAAGUGGAAUUCCUAGUGUAGCGGUGAAAUGCGUAGAGAUUAGGAGGAACACCGGUGGCGAAAGCGGCUUUUUGGCCUGCAACUGACACUGAGGCGCGAAAGCGUGGGGAGCAAACAGG
rnacentral:rRNA from 1 species